CCCACCUAAUGAUUUUAUUUUUCAAUUAAUUCCUUGACAGAAUGCCAGCCUGCAUCUCUCCCUUCCCUGGCGCUGGCGCUGGCGGCCCGCGUGGAAGGCACAGGCAGAGAGAAAGGUGCGGGCGGGGGCGGGCGCUGACGGGAGGACAAGGGAAAGCGCUGCACGGGGUUUUGUUCCAGGCAAGCCGGGAGACGCACGUGGCUGAUGGGGAAGAAGGGCCGGGAGGGGAAGAGAGCCGGGCUGGCAAGCCCAGGCUGGGCUCCGGGUGGAGAGGCGUGUGGCACAGGGUAAAGACUGGCUGCUGGGACCAAACCCUGCGGCUCCUGGCUGGGCCACCUCAGGCCCUGGGGUGGAAGCAGAGGCUGAAGGGGAGGAGUUGGCAACAUCUCCUUACGGGGCCGAGGCACAACGACGUCUGCACCAGGAUCUGUAAGCACCAAGGCUGAGGGGCCAGGCCCCCUGCCUCCCCAGCCCCUCUGCAGGGAGAAGCAUCCGGCUCCACGAACGCGGCUCCCGGCUCCCGCACGGCCCGCCAAUCGCACCCUGCGAGCAGCAGCUGUCACCUAGGAGCUGCCUUGACCAAAACAAUUCCCGCUCCUCGAUCUGCCCUCUCUGGAUUCUGCCUGCCCCAGCCGGGAGGGUGUGAAAAAGAGCGUGUCUCCCAGCCAAUCUCAACCUCUCCUGGUGCCACCUGCCAACGUGACCGGGAGCUGGCGAAAGGACAAAACACAGCCCCCUGGACAGAGAAAGUGAUGGUUUCCGAGAGGGCACGGAUAAAAUGCCUCCUGCACCUCCCUGUACCCCACCCACAGCCUCAACCUUGCCAGGCAAGCCCCUCCGUGGCAACGGGGACAGGAUCCCUCUGCCCACCUCCCGCCAGGGCCUUUGACACCUCUGGAGGAAGGGCUGCCACAGCCAAGUCUCAGGGACGGCACAAGAAGGACCUAGAUCAAGGAAUAAAAAUCGGAGCUUACAGAAAACCUCUCUCUCCGGGUCCAUGGAAGGAACCACGACAGAGGGAUAUUUUGAAUAAUAAAUUCUGUGACUUCACAUACUUGCUUGAACUUUCCUGACUGUGAUUUUUAAAGCCCAGUGAUUAUGUUUUCAUGGGCAAGAUCAAGGCGGCCUAUUUGCAAGGGCUGACGUGGGGAUAACGGGCGCUCUCGGUCUCCAGUCUUUUGAAAAUGUGCCAUCCUACGAAUGAUUAAGUUAUGGAAGGGGGGCGGGGGGGCUGUUGCAGGCUUUAAAU